rnacentral:hammerhead_ribozyme from 1 species
ACCCCUUUGACGAGUCCCAAAUAGAACGAAACGUGUGUCCUGGAU